ACUCGCACUCGUCUUCAAACAAAUCGGCACCCUCACAACAAGUCACAAAUACACUCAUCACUCGUCUUCGAAAUAUCUCUCUGACAGCUAUAAUGGCGGAAUCACCGGCGCAGAGUUGUGCGGAGCUGGUUCCUCAGCAAGCUGAAUCGGAUCUGGCAUCUCUCGUAUUCGAAAUGUCGCAGCAAGUUCAGAUGGGAAUGGAGAAUAUGCUCAAGUUGGUCAAUGAGAUCGAUCAAAACUCAGUUGGAAUAAAGGAGGAGAUUGAGAAAUCAAAGGAUUAUGCAAUGGAGAAGAAAAGGGUUCUCGAGGAAGAGAAAGAACAGUUCCAGAAAGCUGCUUACACCAUCCUUGACAUGUUAAGCAACCGAGGCUAGCUAGAUGCGGAGGGGAUCAGGGGAAGCAUGCUCUAUAGGAAGAAAAAAACUUCAUCAGGUCUUUCGACCACUUAUCUCGGAAAACUUAAAGGUAACAGCUGAAGAGAUUGAGAUGGGUAUCAUCGAUUCCGACGCUACAAAUGCUCAGCUUCACAUUGCACUUCUAAAGGGAAUACCACCGGUGAAUAAUAAAUCGCUUGAGGACGGAGGAGAUGCAUGGAUCACUGCGUUGUGUAAGAAACUCGAUCCAU